rnacentral:rRNA from 1 species
AGUGAACGCUGGCGGUAGGCCUAACACAUGCAAGUCGAACGGCAGCACAGUAAGAGCUUGCUCUUACGGGUGGCGAGUGGCGGACGGGUGAGGAAUACAUCGGAAUCUACUUUUUCGUGGGGGAUAACGUAGGGAAACUUACGCUAAUAACGCAUACGACCUACGGGUGAAAGCAGGGGAUCUUCGGACCUUGCGCGAUUGAAUGAGCCGAUGUCGGAUUAGCUAGUUGGCGGGGUAAAGGCCCACCAAGGCGACGAUCCGUAGCUGGUCUGAGAGGAUGAUCAGCCAGACUGGAACUGAGACACGGUCCAGACUCCUACGGGAGGCAGCAGUGGGGAAUAUUGGACAAUGGGCGCAAGCCUGAUCCAGCCAUACCGCGUGGGUGAAGAAGGCCUUCGGGUUGUAAAGCCCUUUUGUUGGGAAAGAAAAGCAGCAGGUUAAUACCCCGCUGUUCUGACGGUACCCAAAGAAUAAGCACCGGCUAACUUCGUG